AGUAGGCGGCGCUCUCCUUGUGCUCUGUGUUCCAGCAUUGUGUCAAUAAGAAGUGGUGCUGUGAAGAGAACAAUAGUCAGACUGAAUGUUGAACAUCAGCUGCUUCCUCCUGCUGAUUUAAACCUUGGUGGACAGAUGGAACAUUGGCUGUGGAUUAUUCUGGCUGCUCUUUUCUCUGAGUGUAAAGGAGACUCAGUGAAGCAGACAGAAGGAGAAGUUGUUGCUGCUGCAGGAGAAUCACUGACUCUGAGAUGUACUUAUGAGACCAGUGAUACAUAUCCAUAUCUGUUCUGGUACAAACAAGGAGAAAACAGUUUCCCAAAGUACAUGCUGAAGCGUUACUCCACAACUUCAGAAAAUUCUCCAGAGUUCAGUGAAGACAGAUUUGAUGCUGAUCUCAACACCGAGGCAAAAGAGAAAUCAGUCAACCUGAAGAUCCAGGAUCUCCGUCUGUCAGACUCUGCUGUGUACUACUGCGCUCUGCGGCCCACAGUGACAGGAAACACCAGAACCCUGCACAAAAACCUGCAGUACUCCACAGCAGCCACUAGAGGGCCUCACAUCCUUCUCUAGUUCUUUAAAUUCCUAGGAUUGAGUCUGGUUCUGGUUCUGGGUCAGUCUGUGGCUGGUUUCCUUUAGCAGCAUUUCCUUUGUGCUGAUUGGUUCGUGUGUUUAUCUCUACCUGUUUCUAAGCAUUCAGACCUGAGACUGUUCAGUUUCAGCAGCUGGGUUGUUCAUCAGACGCUCUGCCAGGAAGCAGCAGCUCUUGGUUCAUCAGGAUCGUCUGAUUCCUGCUGCUGAAAUGCUUCUCCAGUAGUUUCCUUUCACUGCGGCUACAC